GACGAACGCUGGCGGCGCGCCUAACACAUGCAAGUCGAACGAGCGAGAGAGAGCUUGCUUUCUUGAGCGAGUGGCGAACGGGUGAGUAACGCGUGAGGAACCUGCCUCAAAGAGGGGGACAACAGUUGGAAACGACUGCUAAUACCGCAUAAGCCCACGGUGCCGCCUGGCACAGAGGGAAAAGGAGCAAUCCGCUUUGAGAUGGCCUCGCGUCCGAUUAGCUAGUUGGUGAGGUAACGGCCCACCAAGGCGACGAUCGGUAGCCGGACUGAGAGGUUGAACGGUCACAUUGGGACUGAGACACGGCCCAGACUCCUACGGGAGGCAGCAGUGGGGAAUAUUGCACAAUGGGGGAAACCCUGAUGCAGCGACGCCGCGUGGAGGAAGAAGGUCUUCGGAUUGUAAACUCCUGUUGUUGGGGAAGAUAAUGACGGUACCCAACAAGGAAGUGACGGCUAACUACGUG
rnacentral:rRNA from 1 species